AGAGUUUGAUCCUGGCUCAGGAUGAACGCUAGCUACAGGCUUAACACAUGCAAGUCGAGGGGCAUCAUGACGAUAGCUUGCUAUUGUUGAUGGCGACCGGCGCACGGGUGAGUAACGCGUAUCCAACCUUCCCCUUAGUAGGGCAUAGCCCGGCGAAAGUCGGAUUAAUACCCUAUGUUAUCCGAAGAUGACAUCUGACUUGGAUUAAAGAUUAAUUGCUAAGGGAUGGGGAUGCGUCCGAUUAGGUAGUCGGCGGGGUAACGGCCCACCGAGCCUUCGAUCGGUAGGGGUUCUGAGAGGAAGGUCCCCCACACUGGUACUGAGACACGGACCAGACUCCUACGGGAGGCAGCAGUGAGGAAUAUUGGUCAAUGGACGGGAGUCUGAACCAGCCAAAGUAGCGUGCAGGAAGACGGCCCUAUGGGUUGUAAACUGCUUUUAUACGGGGAUAAAGUCGCCCACGUGUGGGUGUUUGUAGGUACCGUAUGAAUAAGGACCGGCUAAUUCCGUGCCAGCCGCAGC
rnacentral:rRNA from 1 species